UAGAUUUACAGGGGUAGAUUUAGGGGCAUGUCCAACCCUCAUGGUAUUGGCGCUGAUAGUGUCUAAAUUAUCCGGCAGAAACACUUUGGAAAGAGGGAGGUUGGGGCACAGGCUGAACAGCUACAAACAGAAAGAAAACAGUGAUUUAUGGGUAAAAAUGAUGGACAAAGGAGCAUUUUUUUAUAUUUCCUCACAAUAAGUAGAGGGGUAACACCUCCAUGAAUAACCUGCCCCAGGGAUGGGUAACAUGUAGUGGAUUUUGCCCAAUUGUAUUUGCCCUCCUCCGGCUCAGUCUCUGGCGGUUGCUCUUGGGGAUUUCAAUGCCCCAGUGGGGCAAAGCGUCGGGCAGUAGCGCUGGGACUGUACUACUCACACUUGGGUCCCAGCAACAGCCUGAAACAGAACAGCGUGAGUAGCCCCCCAGCUCUGCCCCCGGCCCUUGUACCUGGGGCUGUAACUGAGGCAAUAGCCAUUCCCAGGUAACUUGUCGUUUGUAUAUAACGUCUGUAUUACAUUUUACCUAAAAACUCAAUUUAUGUGUCUGUUUCAAAUUGCUGUACUUCCUGGUUACCUCACAGGGCACUUCCCCCCUCGCUCAUUCAUUCUCUAGCUGAAGAGGAGGAUGAACAUCUAGAGAGAACCCUGGGGCAAAACAAAGGCAAAAUGGCUAAGAAGGAGGAGAAAUGUGCCAUCCAGGGAUCGCUGCAACCUGGCUAAUCCCACAAUCGGAAUCCUUUUACAAAGGGAAAUGGAACUUGACCACUUUAUUAUUUAUUUUGCAUAAAGACGCAAAGGCAAUUGGCUUCUCGCUGCUCAGAGCUCAUUAGUGAUCAGUUUAGAUACAUGAGCCGUGGCAGCUUGGGAAUCAGUGUAGUCUGCAACAUGCUCAGUACUGGGGCAGUUGACUGGCCAAACAGGGUAGAGUCCCGGGAGGGUUCCUGUGUAUGUUAUAUAUAUAUAUAUAUUAAAAGGAGAGAUAAAAUAACUACACAGAAUAAACAUGCGGCACAAGGCAAAUAAUGAGAUGCCCAAUAUAAAUGUUUUUCUCUGUAUUUCCACUUUCAUCCAGGAGGCGCCACCUCUUCCUUUUCUUAUUCCCCAUUCCUAUCCAGGUACUAAGGUGCUUACAGCGCCAUUCUGAGGGUUGGAAUUGGAAGCGCAAGAGAACGGACGGCUGCAGUUGGGAGAUUCUCCUUAUAAAGCGUCACUGUGUAUGAGGGAAGUAUGCGGCCAAACGGGGGCCACAAGUGCCAGGGCCCAGGAGCGCAUUUAAAUGAGCUGAAGAGGAGGAUGAACAUCUAGAGAGAACCCUGGGGCAAAACAAAGGCAAAAUGGCUAAGAAGGAGGAGAAAUGUGCCAUCCAGGGAUCGCUGCAACCUGGCUAAUCCAACAUUCGGAAUCCUUUUACAAAGGGAAAUGGAACUUGACCACUUUAUUAUUUAUUUUGCAUAAAGACGCAAAGGCAAUUGGCUUCUCGCUGCUCAGAGCUCAUUAGUGAUCAGUUUAGAUACAUGAGCCGUGGCAGCUUGGGAAUCAGUGUAGUCUGCAACAUGCUCAGUACUGGGGCAGUUGACUGGCCAAACAGGGGUAGAGUCCCGGGAGGGUUCCUGUGUAUGUUAUAUACAGUAUAUAUAUAUAUAUAUUAAAAGGAGAGAUAAAAUAACUACACAGAAUAAACAUGCGGCACAAGGCAAAUAAUGAGAUGCCCAAUAUAAAUGUUUUUCUCUGUAUUUCCACUUUCAUCCAGGAGGCGCCACCUCUUCCUUUUCUUAUUCCCCAUUCCUAUCCAGGUACUAAGGUGCUUACAGCGCCAUUCUGAGGGUUGGAAUUGGAAGCGCAAGAGAACGGACGGCUGCAGUUGGGAGAUUCUCCUUAUAAAGCGUCACUGUGUAUGAGGGAAAUAUGCGGCCAAACGGGGGCCACAAGUGCCAGGGCCCAGGAGCGCAUUUAAAUGAGCUGAAGAGGAGGAUGAACAUCUAGAGAGAACCCUGGGGCAAAACAAAGGCAAAAUGGCUAAGAAGGAGGAGAAAUGUGCCAUCCAGGGAUCGCUGCAACCUGGCUAAUCCAACAUUCGGAAUCCUUUUACAAAGGGAAAUGGAACUUGGCCACUUUAUUAUUUAUUUUGCAUAAAGACGCAAAGGCAAUUGGCUUCUCGCUGCUCAGAGCUCAUUAGUGAUCAGUUUAGAUACAUGAGCCGUGGCAGCUUGGGAAUCAGUGUAGUCUGCAACAUGCUCAGUACUGGGGCAGUUGACUGGCCAAACAGGGUAGAGUCCCGGGAGGGUUCCUGUGUAUGUUAUAUAUAUAUAUAUAUUAAAAGGAGAGAUAAAAUAACUACACAGAAUAAACAUGCGGCACAAGGCAAAUAAUGAGAUGCCCAAUAUAAAUGUUUUUCUCUGUAUUUCCACUUUCAUCCAGGAGGCGCCACCUCUUCCUUUUCUUAUUCCCCAUUCCUAUCCAGGUACUAAGGUGCUUACAGCGCCAUUCUGAGGGUUGGAAUUGGAAGCGCAAGAGAACGGACGGCUGCAGUUGGGAGAUUCUCCUUAUAAAGCGUCACUGUGUAUGAGGGAAAUAUGCGGCCAAACGGGGGCCACAAGUGCCAGGGCCCAGGAGCGCAUUUAAAUGAGCUGAAGAGGAGGAUGAACAUCUAGAGAGAACCCUGGGGCAAAACAAAGG